GUCAGUGCUUGUUCGUCCUGUUUCUUUGAUCUCUACCUUAGAUUCCUCGGUUUUGUUGCUUGAUUUUAUUUUUUGUUUUAAUUCAGGCACUGGCAGAAGAAGUGAGGGCACGGUAUGACAAAGCGAUUUUUAAAGUCGUUGAUCUAGAUGAUUAUGCGGCCGAUGACGAUGAAUAUGAGGAGAAGAUGAAGAAAGAAACUAUAUCAUUUUUCUUUUUAGCAAUAUAUGGAGAUGGUGAGCCAACAGAUAAUGCUGUAAGGUUUUACAAAUAAUUUACAGAGGGGAAUGAGAGGGGAAACUGGCUUCAGAAUCUCAAAUAUGGUGUUUUGGGGCUUGGAAACAGGCAGUAUGAGCAUUUUAAUAAGAUAGCUAAGGUGGUGGAUGACUUGAUUGCAGAACAGGGAGGAAAGCGGCUUGUCCCGGUGGGUCUCGGAGAUGAUGAUCAAUGGAUUGAGGAUGACUUCACUGCAUGGUGUGGAGAACUUUCAUAUUUCUCAGCAUCUCUUUGAUAGACUAUAACCCUUCCACACUAGAUAAUACCGGAUGAACCUAACAUUUGUAAAAAUAGUUUGACUUACCUCAUCUAUUUUUCUUGAUGCCAUUUAUUUUGUAUAUUCAUGUCUAUUCCUUAUUUUGGAGCUAAUUUGUUCAAUCUCCAUUCGAUAAAUGGUUGUCAUGGCUGUUCGUGGAAUGCAUGUGUCAUAUCAUUAUUCAGGAUUGUCCCAGCUAUUUGGUGUUGGCUAUUGAAUGCAUCUGUUUCUUUGUGCUUGUGGUGGUGAGCAUCUUCUUUGUUGCAUCUCAUAUAUGACGAGUGAACUGUGGCAUUCUGUUUGAAGCUCAACUUUAGGGAACUAUUCAGGACCACCUACAAAUAUUCAACAUUGAGACGAAGGCAAAAAUGAAAUAACAUCAGAUGCCUGAGCAGGUUGUGUUUUGGAAGUGGAGUA